GGGGGAUUAGCUCAGUUGGCUAGAGCGCUUGCCUUGCACGCAAGAGGUCAUCGGUUCGACUACGAUAUUCUCCACUA
rnacentral:tRNA from 1 species